CAACAAACAUAUAGAGUUAGGAUUUUUUUUAUUUUUUAUUUUUUUAUUUGUUUUACGGAUUUCACAUUAAGGGUGUGAUGAGGGAGUAAGUUUUGUUUUUUAUUAAAAUAUUUAUAUUUCUUUAGAAAUAAAAUGGGAUGUAAGAAACUUAGCAUAAUAACCUAAGUAAUUAAUUUCAUUUGCCAUUUUUUUUUAUAUUCAACCCCAAUGGCAGUGAAAUGACAGCACAUUAGUUUUUAUAGCAAAAAGAAUUAAAGCAAAGAGUUUGAGAUUAAGGUAAUAAAUUGAGCAAGAAUAACUUAUAAAAUUAUUAGGGAUGGGUCGAUUCGAUUCUCCGAUUCCUCGAUACCACUGAAUAUUAAAAAAUUUGGGUACUUAGUAUCGGGUACUAAAAAAGGGCAAGGUAGGUUAGAUAUCGGUUAAGUUAAGCAAAUACGGUAGUAAUAUAUUUUCGUCUGAGCUUUUCUUUCAUACCUAUUUUAAUAUAUCUUACUGCCGUAUGUGCAUCAAAUUCCUAAUGAUGCUCAUUAUUAUUAAAUAUUAAUUUUAUUCGAAUAAAAAUAAAAAAUAAAAACAAUGUUACCGGGCAUGUUUAACCUCUAAUUAAAACUCCACGAUCGAAGAACAUUAUUCCUCACUUAUGUAUUAGACGUAAAUAAAUUGUAAAAAGACUAAUUAAUUUUAUUUACAUUUAAGAAAAGUCCAUUGUUUUUUGUGAAGAAAGUGAUGGUUAUGAAACGAGAUCACAUCACGUGUCGUCACCAUUUUAGUUGUGAUCCAUUCAAGGAUGAUGGCCUCCACAAAACGGGAAGCCUAAGAUGUACAUCUAGUUCUGUCCCUGCCCAAACAUGCCCAAAUAUUCACCUUCGGCCAACCUCGGGUUUAUUAAUAUAUAUUUAUAUUUCUCUAUUUAUUUUAAUGUAGCUAUACUAACCUAACUAACCGUCCAUAGUGUUAUAAAGUGUUUUAAUGUAGCUAACCUAACCGACCACUUUUAAAUAUUUGAAUUCAUUUUUCCUGUACAAAAUUAAAACAAAUCCUGAGGUUGGCCGAAGGUGAAUAUUCGGGCGUGUUCGGGCAGGGACAGAACUUGAUGUACAUCUUAGGCUUCUCCCACAAAACCUCUGGUGCCCAUAAAACAUAAAGUCAAGUCGAAACUUAUCGAUUCGUUGCGUACGGGACAAAUUGUAUAAUGAAAGCAACAAUCGAUUUUAAAGAAUUCUCUGGCCAUACCGCCAACAGAGGCUCGUGUUUAUUACUUGCAAAGGAAAACAGUAAUUCACCGUCGUGCUAUUGAGGUUACUGUGAAUUGUUUCGCAUAUGCUAUUUAUUUUGCACAAAUAUUAUUUUGCUAAAACUAUUUUCAAGUAUUUUGCUAGUUUGUUUCUAAAACGAAUGUUCGCCGACUGUCGUUUCAAAUUAAGUGGCGAAUUGUCUGAUAUUGUAUCAACAUGUCUAAAGUUUGGGAACAUUUUCGCAUCAAUAGUGAAAAUGACAAAUAUGCAAUUUGUAAUCAUUGUAGUGUGCAAAUUUCACGGGGCGGUACUUCCAAAUCUACAACCAAUUUAAUGAAGAAUUUGAAAUCCCGGCACACAUUACUACCAGAAAAAAACAGAGUGUUUGCAGAAAAACAAACUUUUGUUUACAGCACUGUCACCAACAAGUCAAAAGGUACCACAGAAAAAAAGUUGUGCUACCUUUGAAUAGUGGUGUGCUUACCUGUUACUUUUGAGUAUCAGUGAAAUCGGUUCCAGUGAAAUUUAUGUUUCUGUGAAAUUAAACGGUGAACGGUGAAAUCUCUCUCUAGUAAUGCUCGUAAUCGUAACUGCUUCCUCGCACCGAAAAAUGGUGAAAUAAAGGGGAUAAGUGAAUUCACUGCCUCUCUGUGAAUGAUGAAAUUAAAUACAUAAAUAAAUAUGUAACGUGUUAAAAAAUUGUUAGUCUAAUACCAUUUGUAUGGGCUAAUGUAUGAAUAUAUCUGUGGCUUGGUUCUAAAAGGGCCAAUGUCAAAAAUAACAGUUCCGAGAUAUUAACCUCUGAAUAUAUGGUUUAUUCUUAAAAUAUUAAUGGCAAAGAAACUAUGCACACCAAUGUUAUGAUACUUCCCCAAUACAAACUGGAGUCCAUGACGAGUAUAGUACACCAAGUCCAACUUCUCUAGACACAUUAACCAAAAAAAAAUUAAUGACAUUGGCCCUUAUUUCGUUUAAAAUGGGUUAAAAUUGCGGACAUUGGCCUUGAAAAAGCACACAAAAUACAUACUAAUUAGAACCUUUAACUACUAUUUAGACAUAUUAAUUAGAUGAAAUAAUUUCAGUUCUUAUCAAGUUAAGAGGACUCUUGAACAUAAUCAGUCAAUGCACAUUAACAUAUGAAUAAUUUCACUAAUUAAUAUUCUUCUCCACCAUGUAUAUUCUCUUACAUUAUGCUCAGUAAAAAACAGAAAUAAAUACAUGUAUUACAUUGUAGCCCAAUAAAACAACAAACAAAAUAAGCACAUCCAUUGUAUCCGCAAGGUUUUGGUUCGUAUUAAACAGGUCUAAGUUUCACUUUAUUCAGUGUCUGCUUCAUUUUCUUCACUGUCAUCAGGAGAUACCCACCGGUAAGCUCAACGGAUGGUGUGAGUCCCUUCAGGAAUGACUCAUAAAAUUGACGACUGUUGGGAUGAAUGAAAGGUAAGAGAGACUUCAAAUAAUUUACCUUCUCUAAUGGAAGUGGUAAUGGCAUACUUUAAAUAGGACUUAAGGUUGGAAGCGAAUUCCUUUUCUUGUGCCUUCGUGACAGAUCAAGUAUCUUGAAUUGUUCAUCAUCUUGGAAAGAAUAUUUGAACUUGAUUGUAUCGGAACCUUAAAAAAUCAUAUCUCAUCCACUUUAUUCUCAACCAAGAAAUUUUUUCUCCUUCGGUAUCAACCUUCCGGUGAACAUAAUGAUUGCUAAGCAAUUCCUUGAAGUUCAAAAAGUCUUUCUGCUCCAUUUCAACAACUGUUAUGGGUGGAUGUCAUCGUACCAUUUGAAUAAGGUUAGCCCAGUCUCUUGGAAGUUCUACAUUUACUGUUGUGUUUUUCUUUGUUUUCUCAAUUGCCGCAUGUACCGUAUCAGCUUCCAUAUGAUUAUGGCCAGGCUCUAGGAAUUUAUGAUUGAUAAUCAGUGUUCUGCUUUUAAUGUUUACAGUUUUCACAUGAGUCCGUAACAUUACGGCCACGUAAAUGUUGCGAUUUUGGCCAGGACAGGAAUCACUAUACAUAUAUUCACUUCUUCAAUUGCAUCAGGUAUACUCUGCAGAUACUUGUAUAAACAGGAUUAAAUUUCCUGUCCACCUCUUGCUUCAAUAGUUUCAUCCCAGAUUAAACAAGUAGCAGCAGAUUUCUGGAGACCUGUCUCAUGUAUUAUUAAGUUAAAUGUCCAGAGUUUUCGUUUAUAAAAUGCUACUCCACUCACAAAAAGUGGGGUAGGGAGGCAUUUCUGAAGAUAAAAUGACAUUGGUAUGCAGUUACUGUUACUUUUACUUAGCGAUUUGUCUUUCCUUUUUUCUUCAUAUGAAGAUUCUGCCAGCUCCAAGUGUAUCUUCUUUUCUUUCUCAAGCUUGUUCCAGAACAAUUACAUCUAGGGAUGGGAUUUUCGAAUCUUGGAUUCGUCGAAUAUACCGAAUCCUAUGGAUUCGAGGAUUCGUAGGAUCCGAGGUGGGAUUCGAGGUGGGAUUCGAGAUGGGUUUUUAAGAGUUUUAGGUAGUAAUUGAUAAUUGUAGUGCUGGGCGAAGUUUGAAAAUUUAGAACCGAACCGAACCCUUACGUUCGGUUCGGUUCGGUUCGGUUCGAAACCUCUUAAAAUAUAUUCGAAAAACCGAACGUUCGUUUAAAAAAAAUUACGUUUUUCUAAUUUUCUAACCCCCAUUUGAGACCAUUCACAAAACAGCUCAACAAAAUUCUAUUAGUUGUAAUAUUCCUACUUUUAUCGCAUAAUCGUCGCCUCAACAGUUUCAAGCUCAGACAAAAUAAAAAUAAAAUAAUUAAUCGUCGCAUAACUCGCAUAGCAUUUUUUCAUAUGGGCGCGCUUUGUUUUUUGAUUACUUUAGAGAAUUUUGUAUGCAUUUGUCGUACUACGUAAUAUAAACUAUCGUACAAAUGCCAAAGGUAUUGUAUAUUAUACCUUUAACUAUAGUGCGUGUACGAGAAGUGUUGUAAAAUCACCAAAAAUUGCGUACCCCAUACGUUAAACUAAAGCGCAUGUACGAGAACUCUCGUAUUUCGGCAAAACUAACGUGAUCAAGUUAACACAAGACAAAUGCGGUAGGAAAUGAUUACGUAAAUUACGUAUUUUAAAUUACUGGGGUGUAUUUAUUUUCUUUGGCCUUUUUGGUUAUAACAGUCAGGCAAUGAAAAUAUUAAUUUAAUCUUGUGUAUUAAAAGUACUGGUCCAGUAAAUUUUACAGUACGGUACUAAUUUGACUAGCGUAGUCGCGGCAGCCAUCAUUAUUUCUCGUGUUUUCUUUUUUCCGACGCAAAUUUCUAGAGGUGUAAAAGUAACGAAAAAAAGGGUACCCGUAUGUAUUCGUUACUAUAACAAUCAGUACUCGUUAUUAUCGUAUCGUUACUCGUUACUUCUGAUACCGCAUAACAUGCAACGAAUCGAGUCGUAUUGCGUAUGCGUACAUUAUGACGUCGCGUAAAUAAUAAUAAUUAGAAUACAUACAAUUAACAAUAUUUGAUAAUUAACAGUUUUUGUUAACCAAGAAACAAUUAAAUCUCAUUAGAGCGGCCUUAUAUUAUCUCUUUUAAGAUAAUAAAAAACCGUGAAAAUUCGCGAUAAUAAAAAACAAAAACAUACAUAUUUCCAAUUUGUAAAAAAUACUUUCUUACGUUGUUUCUGUUCCAAUCUCAAACGUUGUCUACACACACAAUACCUUUAAUAAACAGUAAAAAAACUUGGACGACGAAUUUCCAAAUUAUACUUUACUUAAUAAACAAACAUCGUUCUUUGUAACAUAAAUUCAUCGAAUAUGCGCGCGCAUGCGUGAAACAUACGAAACAUGCGAGUAACGAAAUAUGCGAGUAACGAAAUGCAGCCGUGUGUAACGUUUCGUUACUCGUAUAUAGACGGCGCACCCGUUACUCAGUAACGAAUACAUACGGUUUGCUACAGCUCUACAAAUUUCUAUAACCACACUUUUUACGUUGCGUUUACAAUAUUAUUGUUCUUGAGGUGAUUUGCGAUGAGCAGGCUAACGUCGUUUAAGUUUUCCAAAUGGAGAAAAGAUAAUGACGACCCGGAUGACCCAGAACCACCCCAAAAAAACCGUCUAAAGUUUCUUCUAACGAGCAGCAUUCUUCCAAGAAAACAGCAACUGCAGUCAGCGGGUUUUGUAAUGUAGAUAGGAAUUACAAAAGAAAAACUGACCAAAAACCCCUCACUCAAGCUCUCUAUGACCAAGCAUGUUCAUUGGUGAAGGAAGGAGUUUCUUUGCGUCAGGCAGCCAAAGCGAUUGGAUUCUCACACACCGCAUUAAUGAAAAGGAUGCGACUUGGAAAAGGGGGGUCUUGGACGUUUCAGGAAGAUUUUUACAUUGGCACAAGAAGAUGAUUUAGUUCGUCACUGUGUGGAAUUGGACAAACGGUUUUUCGGUUUGAGUCUCAAGUCUUUGAGAUAUCUUCUGUAUGCUUAUGCUAAGAAAAAUAGCAUCUUCUGUCCAUUUUCUGACGAAUCAAAAAUGGCCGGAAGGGAUUUUACCCGAGCGUUUAUGAAGAGAAACAAGCUAUCGUUGAGAACCGCACGUAAGACAAGUGUGGCACGUACCAUGGGAUUUAACCGUCAACAACUAAAACUGUAUUUCGACAACUUGGAAGAUACCUUAUAAAAAUAUAACUUUGGGCCAGAACGUAUUUACAACAUGGAUGAAUCCGGAGUUCAGACAGUGCCAAAUAAAAUACCAAAGCACAUAGCUCCCACUGGUAAGAAGGAAGUGGCGAAGUCUACAUCCGCUGAACAGGGUAAAACGAUAACAGUGGUCUGUGCAAUGAGUGCGGUCGGACAAUUUGUACCUCCAUUUUUUAUAUAUGGAAGAAAACGAGAAAAUAGGCUGCUUAUCAAAGGAGGACCGAUAGGUUGUGACAUGGCAUUGACGGAUAAAGGCUACAUGAACUCAGCAACUUUUGUGAAAUGGCUGGAUCACUUUAAGAAGUAAACAAAUACUACUCCUGAGAACCCAAUACUUCUUAUACUGGAUAACCACAUUUCACACAUCAGUUUGAUAGCUGUUGAGUUUGCUAAGUCCAAUUAAAUUCAUUUGCUUACACUACCGCCGCAUAGCAGUCACAAAACGCAGCCCUUGGACAGGUGUUUCUUCAGGCCAUUCAAAGCCUUUUAUGAUGCGGCUGCAGAUAGCUGGACAAACGCAAACCCUGGGCAAACAAUAAGUGAAUUUGAAGUCUCACAACUUGUUAAAAUUGCCUUUGAAAGAGCAGCAACUGUUGAAACAGCAGUUCAAGGUUUUCACAGCACUGGAAUCUAUCCUUUCGAUAAAAAUAAAUUUACAGAUAUAGACUUUCUGCCCUCCGAAGUAACAGAUCAAGAACCUGAAGUUACAGAACCACAAGACGAUGAGGAACAGAGGUUCAUAUAUUUCAACCAUGACCGCAAUGACCAUCCACCUCGAGGGGACGACCUUCCACCGGAGUCACAAUUACCAGGGAGAGGCCUGAAAUCAGUUUUACUUACCUCAACGCCUAACAAAAAAUAUCUAGAGGAAAAAGAACAAGAGAAGGCGAAGAGAGAAAAGAGUAGUAAAUUGUUAAAGAAGAAUAAGAAACCAAGAAAGGCAUUGUUUCCACCACCCAAGCAUAAGCUUCAGCGAACUAAGAAGCCAUCACCACCAUCAUACACCUCUUCUGACAGUGAUUCCUAUUCUGUUCACAAUUCAAGCUCGGAUAUGGAUGGACUCUUCUCUGAAACAGAAAACGAAGAAGAUGAUGAACCAAGUGAAUCAGCCAGAGCACCAGGAAGUUGCAGCUGAAUGAUUUUGCUGUGGUGAAAGUUCAAGGCAAAACCAAAGACUCGGUGAGGUUAUAUGUUUCAAAGAUUGUCCACGUUUUUGACAAUGGAUAUUAUGCUCUAUUUUACAGAAGAAUUCCUCAAACUCAGCGAUUUUCAGAAACAAAAGAGGAAGCAUUUCUUAAACCUCAAGAUAUUUACAUGACACUCUCCAAGCCAAUCAAGUGCACUUCUGGACGAUUCAUAAAUACAGUAACUUUUUCCAGUGAUUUCAAUGACUUAACAAUUUAUUGAUAAACUUAAACUGGGAUUUAAGUAGGCUUUGAAUGAGUCUACUUCCCUACUUAAUUAGUUUUUCCUACAAUAAGUAGUUACUCCUUUGUUUUUACCCAUUUCUCUUUGUAAUAAUAUUUUAUAACAUUCUUUUGUAAUUUUCUUGUUUCUUACUUUUGUUAUUUUGUAAUUUUCUAUAUUAUAAUAUGUAAUAAAUGAUUCUUACGUGUCUAAAAAGGCUGAAUAAACCCAAACGUGUAGGCCUA